rnacentral:lncRNA from 1 species
UGUGAGAAAAAAAAACUCCUUGAUCCGAACCAAACGACCGAAACUAAAAACAAUAUUUCAUAUGUGAGAAGAGAGAGCUCCUUGAUCCGAACCAAGCGGCCAAAACUAAGGGGAUGAGACCAUCAUCAUAUCUCACCUUCUCACCUCGGUAAGUCGAUCGCUGGCCUCCCUGCUUCUUUUUCUUGUGUGUUCGUAUGCGCGUAUUGUGACUAGCAGUAGCAGGAGAUGAAUGAAUGCUGGCAGCGAGUGCAAAAAAUGGA